CGAUGAGGACGUGCUACCUGUUGAUCCUGCCAGUAG
rnacentral:rRNA from 1 species